UACGGAGGGUGCAAGCGUUAAUCGGAAUUACUGGGCGUAAAGGGAGCGUAGGUGGAUAUUUAAGUGGGAUGUGAAAUACUCGGGCUUAACCUGGGUGCUGCAUUCCAAACUGGAUAUCUAGAGUGCAGGAGAGGAAAGUAGAAUUCCUAGUGUAGCGGUGAGAUGCGUAGAGAUUAGGAAGAAUACCAGUGGCGAAGGCGACUUUCUGGACUGUAACUGACACUGAGGCUCGAAAGCGUGGGGAGCAAACAGG
rnacentral:rRNA from 1 species